UUCCCGGUUUUGAAGGAGUUAAUAAUUUAUUUUAGUUACUGUUUCAUCAGUAUUAACAAUAUUUUAUUAGUGAUGAAAUGUCACUCGUUUUCAUAGGUAUCUGGUUUCCUAGGAAAUAGAUUGAAUUUACACUUUUUAUGUUUAGUUUUCUCUUUUUUUUGUGAGGUUUUAUGUGAAGUGAGGAUUUUGGGGGAUGAGCUCCAAUUUUUAUUUUUAUAAUUUUCUUUGAUUGUUAUUUGUGUGGGCUUUAUAAUGGCUAUCAAUAUGAGUAUGUUAAAAUUUUACUUUUUUCUUCUUUUAUUUGUUUUUUAUUUAAUUUUUUAUUAGGAUGUUUAGUUUAAUUUUUAUGUCUAUUGUAAUUUUGAUGGAAUUAGUAUAUUUUUGUGAUGAUAAGUUUUAUUUAAUGUUAUAUUUUUGAGAGGAACUAGGCAAAUAAUUAUGCUCGCUUGUUUAACAAAAACAUCUUCUCUUGUGAGAUUUUAUGAGAUACGGCCUGCCCGCUGAUUGUUGUUGAAGGGCCGCGGUAUUUUGACCGUGCAAAGGUAGCAUAAUCAUUAGUUCUUUAAUUGUGAACUGGUAUGAAUGGUUUGACGAAGUGUAGACUGUCUUUCAUUAAUUAUUGUUUGAAUUUGGUGCUUGAGUAAGAAUACUUAAAUUUUUUUAUGGGACGAGAAGACCCUAUAGAGUUUCACAUAGAAUAUUUCCUUUUUGUUUGUGUUUUUUAUUGAUUUUUUCUAUGUUUUGUUGGGGUGAUGAGAGGUAUUGGGAACUCUUCUUUUAUUUUGGUACACUCAUUUGUGUUUUAUUGAUC
rnacentral:rRNA from 1 species